GCAUUUGCAAAAUACUGAUGAAAGGGAAAGAAACUGGACACGUCUGUAACAUCUGGUAAUUUUCCACCUUUAACUUUCACUUUGCUGAUAUAUUCUUCCCAACGUGACAUUACUUGGUAUAAGAAAAAGUGGCCAGCUGUUUCACAAGUAUAAGAAACAUCUCCUGGGACACCAAGACUCUCUUGCAAUCGCCCAACCUCUCGCAGGAGUUCAAGUCUUCGAGCCAGAACAUAAUUCACUCUUCCAUACCUGCUGAAAUCUUUCUCUGUCUCUAAUUCCUCUUCUCCAUGACCCAGACGCAGGAGAUGGCGCUCAUCAAUGUCUAGAGCCAUGAUUUUUUCAAACAGCUGGUUCAAGGCCUGAUUAGAGUGGGUAACUAUAAGAGUUCGUUGUUCUGGGAAAUUAUGAUACAGAUUGGAUAUUAUCUGGACUGCAACAUCAGUUUUCCCUGUACCAGGUGGACCCACUACCAUAGUUAGUCCAGGUUGCAUUCCUGCACGUAUAGCUUCAAUCUGAGUGUGGGUGAAUUGAAUAGUAUUGCGUUUUGGUUGAUUAUAUGGAUAUGGUCCCCUGUUUGGAAUGAUGUGAGGCUCUACAAUCAGUGUUUUAGCUUCUUCAGAUUUUUCUUCAUUCUCAUCCUCUUUUCUUUUCUUUCCUCUACCUCCUGUUAUUGGGAAAGUUAUCCUGAAGGGAGGUACUUGUAGUUCUGGAUUGUCAACAGUCACUUUAAUAUUGUACCCAGGAAAACUAGCUUUUAAGUGAUCAAUGGACAAGAAGGUGUCAUUAAAAUCUAGAGACGCAAUCUGAUUUGGCAUUUUUGAAUAGUGUGCACUACUUGGGUCUCCAUAUCCAAGAAUGAUGUCAUGUAGCCAGUCAGGAACCACACAAUCUGUGUUCAUCAAAUUUCUAAUAGUUUCCAGAACAGCCUUGAAAUUGUUUUCUUUUGGUUUUCUUCUCAUUAUUAUAUUAAAAGUCUCAUAUACAUCUUCUGCUCCAUUCUGGAUUGUAUUGGUCAUGUCUUGUUGAUACUGGUUUGGGUCCAGAAAUACUCUGUAUGUUCUGCAAUCGCCUUUAAGUCUUGGUUUGGGUUCAGGUCCCUCUUCAAUAACACGUCCUUUCUCAUCCAACAUGCCCUGGAUUUCACAGCCUCUAACAUACACCAGUCCAGUCUGCUCAACAAAAGGUCGUCUUCGGUCAAACUUAGUACCGUAAGGUUGCGUGGGACGUACCGUAACCAAAAAGCAGACAUCAUGUUUCCGUAGACCUUCCCAUUCAUCUUUGAUGCUAUCUCUAACAUUCAAAUUAAUUGUGACAUCUGCUCGUACUCGCAUGGGCCAGUUUUCACCAAUAUUGGGCUUUGCAACCUCCACCACUGUGAAAGACACAAUGGGCUGUGCCAUCCUAGCCCAUCCACCAAAGACCACACCUCCAUAUUCUGACAGCCAUGGUUUCAUCCUACUGAC
rnacentral:lncRNA from 1 species